rnacentral:rRNA from 1 species
UACAGAGGGUGCGAGCGUUAAUCGGAAUUACUGGGCGUAAAGAGCGCGUAGGCGGCUUUUCAAGUCGAUUGUGAAAUCCCUCGGCUUAACCGGGGAACUGCAUCUGAUACUGGAUGGCUUGAGUUCGGGAGAGGGAUGUGGAAUUCCAGGUGUAGCGGUGAAAUGCGUAGAUAUCUGGAGGAACACCGGUGGCGAAGGCGGCAUCCUGGACCGACACUGACGCUGAGGAGCGAAAGCCAGGGGAGCAAACGGG